rnacentral:lncRNA from 1 species
UGCAUUGCUUCCAAGCCACAAUUGGAAAAAAAUAAAAUCUUUCUUGGCAAAUAUACAUAAUAAAAUUAUAAUUAUUUUCUAUUCGAAAUACAAUCUUUAUUAUAUUUUAUAUUUGUGUCGGCUAUUAUAUAUUUAAUUAAAAAGAUAUAAAAGGUUACAAAAGAAAUACAAAAUAAUACAAUACAGACAUAUUACCUAAUUUGUAAUGAGAAAAAGAAAGAAAAAAGAAGGGGAACAGUGCCAAUUUCGACCCAAAC